CUUUGAUCAAGUGUCUAGAGUUUCCAUCUACUUCGCAAUGACGAUCGUGGGAUUGGUGCUGCUCUGUGGUACCGUCAUCAUCUUUGAGUGCUGGGUUAGAUUAUCCAAGAAACCAACGAAGGUCAUGAAAGAAGCAGAGUGAUGGAGGCACAGGCAUUGUGAAAAUAAAGAUGUAAACUUCAAUCAGCAGUAGAUAAUUUCUUCUUCCCUAUUU